GGCUACACAUGCAGUCGAGCGGUAGCACAGAGAGCUUGCUCUCGGGUGACGAGCGGCGGACGGGUGAGUAAUGUCUGGGAAACUGCCUGAUGGAGGGGGAUAACUACUGGAAACGGUAGCUAAUACCGCAUAACGUCGCAAGACCAAAGUGGGGGACCUUCGGGCCUCAUGCCAUCAGAUGUGCCCAGAUGGGAUUAGCUAGUAGGUGGGGUAACGGCUCACCUAGGCGACGAUCCCUAGCUGGUCUGAGAGGAUGACCAGCCACACUGGAACUGAGACACGGUCCAGACUCCUACGGGAGGCAGCAGUGGGGAAUAUUGCACAAUGGGCGCAAGCCUGAUGCAGCCAUGCCGCGUGUGUGAAGAAGGCCUUCGGGUUGUAAAGCACUUUCAGCGGGGAGGAAGGCGUURAGGUUAAUAACCUUGUCGAUUGACGUUACCCGCAGAAGAAGCACCGGCUAACUCCGUGCCAGCAGCCGCGGUAAUACGGAGGGUGCAAGCGUUAAUCGGAAUUACUGGGCGUAAAGCGCACGCAGGCGGUCUGUCAAGUCGGAUGUGAAAUCCCCGGGCUCAACCUGGGAACUGCAUUCGAAACUGGCAGGCUAGAGUCUUGUAGAGGGGGGUAGAAUUCCAGGUGUAGCGGUGAAAUGCGUAGAGAUCUGGAGGAAUACCGGUGGCGAAGGCGGCCCCCUGGACAAAGACUGACGCUCAGGUGCGAAAGCGUGGGGAGCAAACAGGAUUAGAUACCCUGGUAGUCCACGCCGUAAACGAUGUCGAUUUGGAGGUUGUGCCCUUGAGGCGUGGCUUCCGGAGCUAACGCGUUAAAUCGACCGCCUGGGGAGUACGGCCGCAAGGUUAAAACUCAAAUGAAUUGACGGGGGCCCGCACAAGCGGUGGAGCAUGUGGUUUAAUUCGAUGCAACGCGAAGAACCUUACCUGGUCUUGACAUCCACAGAACUUUCCAGAGAUGGAUUGGUGCCUUCGGGAACUGUGAGACAGGUGCUGCAUGCCUGUCGUCAGCUCGUGUU
rnacentral:rRNA from 1 species